rnacentral:pre_miRNA from 8 species
UAGCUGGUUGCUUACUUGUUUGUAUUCCCAGGUGAACUGUGAGCUCUUGGAAGCAAAGAAGUAUGUCUUUGAUGU